GGGCGUAUGGUGAAAUAGGUAGACACGAUGGACUUAGAAUCCAUUGACGCGAGUCAUGCAAGUUCGAUUCUUGUUACGCCCA
rnacentral:tRNA from 1 species